rnacentral:rRNA from 1 species
GAUGAACGCUGGCGGCGUGCCUAAUACAUGCAAGUCGAGCGAACAGACGAGAAGCUUGCUCCUCUGAUGUUAGCGGCGGACGGGUGAGUAACACGUGGAUAACCUACCUAUAAGACUGGGAUAACUUCGGGAAACCGGAGCUAAUACCGGAUGAUAUUUUGAACCGCAUGGUUCAAAAGUGAAAGACGGUUUUGCUGUCACUUAUAGAUGGAUCCGCGCUGCAUUAGCUAGUUGGUAAGGUAACGGCUUACCAAGGCAACGAUGCAUAGCCGACCUGAGAGGGUGAUCGGCCACACUGGAACUGAGACACGGUCCAGACUCCUACGGGAGGCAGCAGUAGGGAAUCUUCCGCAAUGGGCGAAAGCCUGACGGAGCAACGCCGCGUGAGUGAUGAAGGUCUUCGGAUCGUAAAACUCUGUUAUUAGGGAAGAACAUAUGUGUAAGUAACUGUGCACAUCUUGACGGUACCUAAUCAGAAAGCCACGGCUAACUACGUG